rnacentral:rRNA from 1 species
UUUAACUGAGCGUUCAGUUACUUGACGUAGACCCGAAACCGGGCGACCUACCCAUGAGCAGGAUGAAGCGAAAGUAAAAUUUCGUGGAGGUCCGAACCCACGAGCGUUGAAAAGCUCGGGGAUGACUUGUGGGUAGCGGUGAAAUUCCAAUCGAGCCCGGAGAUAGCUGGUUCUCCCCGAAAUAGCUUUAGGGCUAGCCUCAAGGUGAGAGAUACGGAGGUAGAGCACUGAAUGUCCUAGGGGGUAUUGCACCUACCGAAGACUAUCAAACUCCGAAUGCCGUCAUCUUAUACUUGGGAGUCAGACUGUGGGUGAUAAGAUUCAUAGUCGAAAGGGCAACAGCCCAGAUCGUCAGCUAAGGUCCCUAAAUGUAAGUUAAGUGGUAAAGGAUGUGGGAUUGCACAGACAACCAGGAUGUUGGCUUAGAAGCAGCCACUCAUUCAAAGAGUGCGUAAUAGCUCACUGGUCGAGUGAUCCUGCGCCGAAGAUUUCCGGGGCUAAAACUUACUACCGAAGCUACGGCAUCAGUAAUGAUGGGUAGGGGAGCUUCCCAUACGGGUUGAAGCAUGACCGUAAGGACAUGUGGACAGUAUGGGAGUGAGAAUGUUGGCAUGAGUAGCGAGAUGUGGGUGAGAAUCCCACAGGCCGUAAACCCAAGGUUUCCAGGGGAAGGUUCGUCCGCCCUGGGUUAGUCGGGACCUAAGCUGAGGCCGAAAGGCGUAGGUGAUGGACAACAGGUUGAUAUUCCUGUACUACCGAUAACCGUUUGAGAGAAGGGAUGACACAGUAGGAUAAGCUAAGCACACUGUUGGUUAUGUGUGCCCAAGCAUUGAGGCAGUCAAAGUAGGCAAAUCCGCUUUGAUAAUGCUGGGAUGUGAUGGGGAGCGAAAUUUAGUAGCGAAGUAGCUGAUUUCACACUGUCAAGAAAAGUCUCUAUCGAGGUUAAAGGUACCCGUACCGCAAACCGACACAGGUGGGUGAGGAGAGUAUCCUAAGGCCAGCGAGAGAACUGUUGUUAAGGAACUCGGCAAAAUGACCCCGUAACUUAGGGAUAAGGGGUGCCACCAUUAGGUGGCCGCAGAGAAUAGGCCCAAGCGACUGUUUACCAAAAACAUAGGUUUCUGCUAAGUCGCAAGACGAUGUAUAGGAGCUGACGCCUGCCCGGUGCUGGAAGGUUAAGGGGAUCUGUUAGAG